AUUGAACGCUGGCGGCAGGCCUAACACAUGCAAGUCUAGCGAGCGGCGGACGGGUGCGUAAUGUCUGGGAAACUGCCUGAUGGAGGGGGAUAACUACUGGAAACGGUAGCUAAUACCGCAUACCAUCAGAUGUGCCCAGAUGGGAGUAGCUAGUAGGUGGGGUAACGGCUCACCUAGGCGACGAUCCCUAGCUGGUCUUCGAGGAUGACCAGCCACACUGGAACUGGUGCACGGUCCAGACUCCUACGGGAGGCAGCAGUGGGGAAUAUUGCACAAUGGGCGAAAGCCUGAUGCAGCCAUGCCGCGGGUGUGAAGAAGGCCUUCGGGUUGUAAAGCACUUUCAGCGGGGAGGCGUUACCCGCAGAAGAAGCACCGGCUAACUCCGUGCCAGCAGCCGCGGUAAUUC
rnacentral:rRNA from 1 species